UGGGGAAUUUUGGACAAUGGGCGAAAGCCUGAUCCAGCAAUGCCGCGUGUGUGAAGAAGGCCUUCGGGUUGUAAAGCACUUUUGUCCGGAAAGAAGUCCUUGGCUCUAAUACAGUCGGGGGGAUGACGGUACCGGAAGAAUAAGCACCGGCUAACUACGUGCCAGCAGCCGCGGUAAUACGUAGGGUGCAAGCGUUAAUCGGAAUUACUGGGCGUAAAGCGUGCGCAGGCGGUUUGCUAAGACCGAUGUGAAAUCCCCGGGCUCAACCUGGGAACUGCAUUGGUGACUGGCAGGCCAGAGUAUGGCAGAGGGGGGUAGAAUUCCACGUGUAGCAGUGAAAUGCGUAGAGAUGUGGAGGAAUACCGAUGGCGAAGGCAGCCCCCUGGGCCAAUACUGACGCUCAUGCACGAAAGCGUGGGGAGCAAACAGGAUUAGAUACCCUGGUAGUCCACGCCCUAAACGAUGUCAACUAGUUGUUGGGGAUUCAUUUCCUUAGUAACGUAGCUAACGCGUGAAGUUGACCGCCUGGGGGAGUACGGUCGCAAGAUUAAAACUCAAAUGAAUUGACGGGGU
rnacentral:rRNA from 1 species